rnacentral:rRNA from 1 species
UACGAAGGGGGCUAGCGUUGCUCGGAAUCACUGGGCGUAAAGCGCACGUAGGCGGACUCUUAAGUCGGUGGUGAAAUCCUGGAGCUCAACUCCAGAACUGCCUUCGAUACUGGGAGUCUUGAGUCCGGGAGGGGUGAGUGGAACUGCGAGUGUAGAGGUGAAAUUCGUAGAUAUUCGCAAGAACACCAGUGGCGAAGGCGGCUCACUGGCCCGGUACUGACGCUGAGGUGCGAAAGCGUGGGGAGUAAACAGG